rnacentral:misc_RNA from 1 species
UAUUGUAUUUACUUUAUUCAAUUGGAGUCACUUGCAGCGUUUGGACACCAAGGAGCUUUUCGAGGUGCCUAGUGAGAAACCAGAUAAGCCACCAUGUCCACACAGCCAGCGGAGAAUGAGGAGAGUGCAGCGGCGAAGUCCAAGCGACCUUCAGAUUCGGCCUUCAAGCAGCAGCGCCUGCCCGCCUGGCAGCCAGUCCUAACCGCCCGCACCGUACUGCCCACCUUCUUUGUGAUCGGAGUUCUUUUCAUACCCAUCGGCGUGGUCCUGCUGCACCUGAGCAACACCGCAAACGAGCUGAUCAUCGACUACACCAAGUGCAGACCCUCGGGCGGAAAUGCCACCUGUGCGGAGUAUCUGGAGGCCAACCCCGGCAGUCAGUGCAACUGCGAGGUGCCCUUCGUCCUGCCCUCGGACUUUAAUGGUGUCGUAUACAUGUACUACGGACUGACCAACUACUAUCAGAACCAUCGGCGCUAUGUGAAAUCACGGGACGACGAGCAGCUGCUGGGUCACCUGUCGCAAACGCCCAGCACAGACUGUGCCCCCUUCGCCUAUGAUCCCGAUUCUGGAAAGCCCAUCGCGCCGUGCGGUGCCAUUGCCAACUCGCUGUUCAAUGACACGUUGACCCUGUUGCAGGGUGGCUCCGAGAUCAACCUGCUGAAGACGGGCAUAGCCUGGCCAUCGGACAAGCGCGUCAAGUUCCGCAACCCAGAGGGUAACUUGAACGUCUCCCUUAAGGGAUUCUCAAAGCCAAUAUUCUGGAAGAAUGGUCUGGCCGACCUAGACCCAGAGAAUCCGGAAAACAACGGCUUCCAGAACGAGGAUCUGAUCGUGUGGAUGCGCACAGCCGCUCUGCCCAGCUUCCGGAAGCUUUAUCGCCGGCUUAACCAGACGAACACCAACUAUGCCAACGGCCUCAAGGCUGGCAAUUAUACGCUUAACAUUACGUACCAAUACCCGGUGGUGUCGUUUGACGGCACUAAGCGAAUGAUCCUCUCCACCACAUCCGUGCUCGGUGGCAAGAAUCCGUUCCUGGGCAUUGCGUACAUUGUGGUCGGCGCAAUAUGCAUCACCCUGGGUCUGGCCCUGCUGUUUAUCCAUAUGCGAUGCAGUCGCAGCAUUAUAGUCCAUUAGGUCAGCUAAGAGUCGAGUAUUUCAUAUCCCAUUGAAGCCGAAUCGUUUCUCAUGGCCAAAUUAGCUUUGCUCGCAACAUGGAGAUGAUCAACGUGAAUCCGCACACGCAGUACUCCUAGACCGAGCACCGUCAGUAUUCCGGGCUGCUUCACUUAGCUUUAGUAGAUCCAUCUGUUUAAGCCCUAUCAGCAUAAAAUAGUUUCUAUUAACCAAAUGGCACCGUGUUCUCGACUGCUCUAUUCUUUAUGUUUAACUGUGUGUUCUUGGCCAUGCAAUGUGCUGGCCAAGUGCCUUUUGUUGAUUCUAUUCGUCUUUGACUCUAUAUGUGUGCACCCAAAUUGUGAUUUUUUGUAUAACUUAUUCCGCACAUCACACCCAGCAAAAGUGGCGCCCUUCGCAACAUCCACACGAAUUUCCACCAUUGCUUUACAAACUGCAAAGUAAUACUUUGUGCCUGACCCAAUCUGUAUUGCCUUUUACUACGUUUAUACGCGCAAAUAAACAUUGUUAAUGGCAUAG